ensembl:lncRNA LINC00408 long intergenic non-protein coding RNA 408
GAAUCGAAGCUGGGAGCUCAGCUUAGAGAACAGGAAGUGGGAGCCACAUACCCCGAGCUGGCGGCUUGAGCCUGUGGUAUCUAGGCUCACCUCACUGCGGUUGGUGGAGGUGAUGGAGGUUGCAGCUUGGCCAGCAUGGUAGAAAGGUGGCAGGGCACGUCUGGCUUUUACCACCCAGUUGCUUCGAGCCAGGAGAUGGAGGAGUCAUCUGUUGCACGCUGGAGGCUGGAGCCUGCAGAUGGCAUGGUUCUGUGGCUCACCUCGCUGCAGUUGGUGGCAGAGACAGAGACUGCAGCUUGACCAGAGUGGUGGAGUGAGUAUUGUCAUCUGCAUGAGCAAAUCUGGUUCAUCACAUCUUUGCAACAGGAAAAGGAAGGGAGGAUCAUGUGUAUAAUGUUUUAAGGCCAAGAUUCACAACAAGAACAAAGUCUUUAUUAACUUUUGCCUUCAAGAACCUGCAGUGUUGAGCCCUUUUUUAUUUCUGGUAUUACUACCUUUGGUAUGAAAUCUUUUUUUAGUGAUUACUUGAAGUUUAUGCAUUUUAUUGACUACUUUAAAGAAACAAUCUAUAUUGUAUCAUUUUUCAAGCCCACAGGAAUGCAUAAAGUCUAUAAUUUUGACACUUUUUAUUUUUAAGGUUAUGAGCAUGUAAAAUACUGUUGAUAUGUGUAAGGAUAUGUAAAAAUGCCACUAGAUAGCUUAUGUUGAAGAGAUAGUGUCUAAAUUUUUGUCCAGAGUGGAUUGGUUGCAGUUUCUUAGGUGUGUUCCUCAAUACAUUGCCUCAAUGUUUUAAAGCAUAUAGAAAUAUUAAUACUAUUUAACCUCAUAUAGUCCUUUGUAGGUUGCUUAAUAUUUCUACAGACUAAAGAUAGCACAGCCUCCAUUAAUAUUCAGUAAUAUUAAUAAAAUUUGGGAUAUAUAGCGUUAGAAUCCAACAAAUCCAGAGGAAAAUUGUUAAAUUAUAUAGCUGUAGAGCAGGAAAUGAAACCCAGGUUCCAAGCUCUAAGGGGGCCAUAAGCUACCAUACAAGUGAAUCAGUGACUGGGCAUAGAGUCAGCAAAAUUACAGGAUGGUUAAAAGAGAGCUGUGGAGUCUAACACUAUGUAAACAUAAAAUUUUAAACUG